CAAAAACCCGCCCCUUCCUUUCGUUGUUACGGACUACAGAGAGUGACGUUGGGCUACUGAGACUGUGUGUGGGUGUGAUGUGCUGCUCACAAUCAGUGCGCUGUGCCGUCAAGGCUCCCAACUGUGUAGCAUGGUAAUUUAACGUAGUUCCGGUCGGAGCGCCAGCUGUUGCCGUCACAACUAUUAAAGACGCUAUCAUGACUUUCGUAUGUACCAUCGAGCUGAGUGUUUCCUGAGGCUGGGGGGGAAUUCUUUGCUGCACCUUUAGGCUUUACUUAAAUAAGGGUCGUCAUUAUUGCUGUGUUUAUUUGCAGUGAAUUUGGUGGGUAUGAUUCUGAUUAGUGGGGUGCUUUUCCCUUUUGUAUAGCUGGUGCUGUCGUACUAGCCUGCAAUUCAUACAGGAAGCCUCAGUCCUCCUAUGAUUAUUGUUAACUUUCUCUUGUGACUGUUUUAUUUGACCUGACUGUGUUGGCUGCUUCUUUUAAAAUAGUUCUUGGCCAGUCUUUUUAACUUUAAAAUAAAAUGUAUUUUA